rnacentral:rRNA from 1 species
AGUGAACGCUGGCGGUAGGCCUAACACAUGCAAGUCGAACGGCAGCACAGUAAGAGCUUGCUCUUACGGGUGGCGAGUGGCGGACGGGUGAGGCAUACAUCGGUAUCUCCUUUUUCGUGGGGGAUAACGUAGGGAAACUUACGCUAAUACCGCAUACGACCUACGGGUGAAAGCAGGGGAUCUUGGGGACUUGCGCGUUUGAUUGAGUUGAUGUCGGAUUAGCUAGUUGGCGGGGUAAAGGCCCACCAAGGCGACGAUCCGUAGCUGGUCUGAGAGGAUGAUCAGCCACACUGGAACUGAGACACGGUCCAGACUCCUACGGGAGGCAGCAGUGGGGAAUAUUGGACAAGGGGCGCAAGCCUGAUCCAGCCAAACCGCGUGGGUGAAGAAGGCCUUCGGGUUGUAAAGCCCUUUUGUUGGGAAAGAAAAGCAGCAGGUUAAUACCCCGCUGUUCUGACGGUACCCAAAGAAUAAGCACCGGCUAACUUCGUG